rnacentral:rRNA from 1 species
AUCAACUUCUAUUCCAUGUCCAAACUAGUUCUCGUCCGAUCACUGAUGUCAAGCGACGUUAAGCAAGAUUAGUACUUGGGUGACCGUUUGAGAACAUCGUGUGAAAUUGAUA